rnacentral:rRNA from 1 species
GAGUGAACGCUGGCGGUAGGCCUAACACAUGCAAGUCGAACGGCAGCACAGUAAGAGCUUGCUCUUAUGGGUGGCGAGUGGCGGACGGGUGAGGAAUACAUCGGAAUCUACUUUUUCGUGGGGGAUAACGUAGGGAAACUUACGCUAAUACCGCAUACGACCUACGGGUGAAAGCAGGGGAUCUUCGGNCCUUGCGCGAUUGAAUGAGCCGAUGUCGGAUUAGCUAGUUGGCGGGGUAAAGGCCCACCAAGGCGACGAUCCGUAGCUGGUCUGAGAGGAUGAUCAGCCACACUGGAACUGAGACACGGUCCAGACUCCUACGGGAGGCAGCAGUGGGGAAUAUUGGACAAUGGGCGCAAGCCUGAUCCAGCCAUACCGCGUGGGUGAAGAAGGCCUUCGGGUUGUAAAGCCCUUUUGUUGGGAAAGAAAUCCAGCCGGCUAAUACCUGUUGGGAUGACGGUA